rnacentral:lncRNA from 1 species
UGAACUCAGUGUUGUUGUCGGUGUCGUCACAAUCACUUGUCUCAUGGUUUGUCCUUGGUUUCCCUUGGAAGUUUUAGCAUAUAUGAUUAUUAUAGCUAUAAUUCUUACUUAUUCUCAAUUACAAUGACUUCAGUAACCAUUAUUUUAUCUGGCCGGGUGGUUUUCAUUUCUUUUUCGGUAGAUACUCUCAGAUCUAAUUUGGUCGAGGAAAAAUGCAUGACCAGUCUAUGUUUUUGGUGAACAGACAUAUGGAUAAGUAUAAUGAGGUUCUCAUGGAAACAUAUAGAUCAAUGUUGCAUGAAUUGCAAAAACUUGAGGUUGUUAUAUUUCCAUAUGGAGGUGAACACAUCAAUAAUGAAGUCAGGACAACACAUGAGAAUCAAUAAGGACAAUUAUGCAAGAAUCAUAAAAUUUCCAUCUUUAGUGAAUUAAUGUUAAAGAGAUAUUGAUUAAAUGUGUAUUGCAUUUUAUUUACACUAUUAGAUGCCAUGUUGAUCGAAAUGGACUUGCAGCUAAUAGCCCUCAUUUUAGGGCCACUAAUUUUUUUUUCCUGUUAUUUGUAUAGUAUGUAUAAAUAUUUAGAAAAUUGGUGAUUUUUGUAAUGUAUUUUUGUGUAAA